rnacentral:snRNA from 1 species
AUACUUACCUGGUGCUGGGUCGGCGGUGAUCACGGAGGCCGCGGCCCCGUGCGGAGGCCACUCCAUUGCACUGCGGUUGGCUGAAGCACGCCACUUCCCCAAGUCGGGGUAGCUGGAGCAUGCAAUUUUUGGUAGUGGGGCUAGGCGUGCGCGCCAGCCCCCA